GCACCACCACGCCCAGCUAAUUUUUGUAUUUUUCGUAGACACGAGGUUUCACUAUGUUGGCCAGGAUGGUCUUGAUCUCUUGACCUCGUGAUCCAUCCACCUCAGCCUCCCAAAGUGCUGGGAUUAUAGGCGUGAGCCACCGCGCCCAGCUUAGUCUCUUUAUUUAAAGAUAAGGGUUUUUUGUUUUGUUUUGUUUUGUUUUUGAGACAUAAUCUCAUUCUGUUGCCCAGGCAGGAGUGCAGUGGCACAGUCAUAGCUCAUUGCAGCCUCAACCUGGGCUCAAGUGAUCCUCCCACUUCAUCUGAGUAGCAGGAACUACAGGCGUGCACCACCACACCCAGCUAAUUUUUGUGUUUUUUUUCUAGAGAUGGGGUUUUGCCCUGUGCCCAGGCAACAAGCAAAUCUGCCCACCUCAACCUUCCAAAGUACUGGGAUUACAGGCGUGAGCCACCACGCCCGGCUAGAGGGAAAAAAGAGGAAAAGCCAUCAGCAAUACCAAGGGAAACCGUAAGCUAAGGUUGGCAUAGUUCUCAGCAAGCCUCACAGUGAUUCUCUCUUCCCUCCCUCACCCCUUGCCUACCUUUAAUCCAAAAAUGAUUUUACCAGAAUGUCCAACAAAUAAGACAAGACCCAAAAGCACUGAGAACUUUUUCUUGCUGCCAAGUAUAAAACACAGACCGGUAUAGUGGCUUAAAAAAGCAAAUUCCCAGGAAAAUGUAUAGAGAUGGAAAAUAGGACAGCAGAAUAGCAGGGACUGGGGAGGGGAGAAGGGAGUGGUGCUCUUGAACAGGUAGAGUUUCUGUUUGGCUGGUGGAAAAGUUCUGGAAAAGAAAGUGUUGAUGGUUGCACAACAUUGUGAAUCUUCGUAAUACCAUUGAAUGGCACACUUAAAAAUGGUUAAAACAGUAAAUUGGGUUACCUAUGUUUUACCACAGUUAAAGAGUAUUUUUAAAAAAGCAUAUUCCCUCUGGGGUUAGUUAGCUGUAGUCAACACCUAAGUUCCCCAGUGAUGAACUGAAGUAUGGACCAAUAAUAUGAAUUAAAAUUAAAUAUUGCCAGGCAGGCUGGGCACGGUGGCUCACGCCUGUAAUCCCAGCACUUUGGGAGUCCUAGGCAGGCAGAUCACUUGAGGUCAGGAGUUCUAGACCAGCCUGGCCAACAUAGUGAGACCUCGCCUCUACUAAAAAAAUACAAAAAUUAGCUGGG
rnacentral:lncRNA from 1 species